rnacentral:misc_RNA from 1 species
UUUCCGUAGGUGAACCAGCGGAAGGAUCAUUAUUGAAUAACCGAGGUGCGAGGGAUGUCGAUGCUACGCCACGGUGGGUACGGCCGAGUGCCCUGACACACACCCAUCUCACCCCUAUGCGCACCACGGCGUGGGUCCCCCUCUGGCGUGUACGGAGGGGGGCUUACGUUUUCACACUAUCUUUGUAAGCAGCGUAGAAUGUAAUUUUUGUCUUUGCGAUAACGCAUUCAAUACAACUUUCAAAAACGGAUCUCUUGGCUGUCGAAUAGAUGAAGAAAG